CUUAAAAUUCAUAAGAAUUCAUUGAUUUCAUACAUCUAUAAACAAUGAUAUGCAGGCCAAAGGAUUUAAGCAACCAUUUAUUAAUCCAUAAUAAUAACAUAUGUAUCAUUCAGAGUCCAGUGAGGAAACAGAAGCUACAACAGUUGGUUUUUAUUGUCAUUGUUGUUUGUUUUUAACCAAAAGCACUUAAUAUAAAGAUUUGAUACCAGUUUUUGGAGUUCUGCAGAGGGAGAAAGUUUCCACUAAAGUAUUGGGGAUAGUAACUACUGAAGGUAGUUUCCAUCUAAGGCUGGGGCAAUUAAAUUUUGGGGUUACUAAAACUUUGGAGAUGGAGUAGGGAUUUUGCAAAGCAGAAACUCAGGUGUUGGAAACUUAGGUGUCUGAGGAGUUACUGCUCCCUGCAUUGAAGUUGAUGUCUCUGGGGCUGGGGGAGGGAGCGGCGGGGGGGUGGUGUGUGAUGAAGUUGUUUCUGAAAGUGUUGGGAAACAUGCAAACUGAAAUCAACUGCUGUUAUUGAAAUGAAAUGUCACUGUCAAGGUGAAAAAGUAUUGCCACGGUGAUGCUGAGAGCAGCAGGAAGCAAAAUCAAGGAAGACAAAAUAAACAGGAAGGAGUGUAUUUCUUAUUUUUCCUCAAUUCAUAAAGUGCUUUUCUAGUACCUUCUACUGGCUUACAGGAGAGACUUACAGAAGCCAAGAGAACACAGCAGAAAUAUGAUUGGAAGGUGUCAGCCCCACAUCACGAAGGAUGUUUCAAGAAUACAACUUUGGGGCUGGGCGCGGUGGCUCAUGCCUGUAAUCCCAGCACUUUGGGAGGCCCAGGCGGGAGGAUCACGAGGUCAGGAGAUCGAGACCAUCCUGGCUAAUACAGUGAAACCCUGUCUCUACUAAAAAUACAAAAAAAUUAGCCGGGGGUGUUGGAGGGCGCCUGUAGUCCCAGCUACCCCGGAGGCUGAGGCAGGAGAGUGGCGUGAACCCGGGAGGCGGAGCUUGCAGUGAGCUGAGAUCCCGCCACUGCACUGCACUCCAGCCUGGGCGACAGAGCGAGACUCCCUUCGUCUCAAAAAAAACAAAAAAAAAAACAAAAAAAAAAACUUUGUUCAAUAAAGCUAUGCACUGGGAAAAUAUUUAUGUCAUUAAUGUUAAUGAUUCAAGUUGAAAUAUUGUCUUUGAUGAAGUUGAUAUUGCUAGUAUUAAAUCUUAUUUACUUAAACUGGACACAAACAAAGCAUCUCCUUUAAUGCAUGCUUGCUUCGGUUGUUUGACUUGGGCAAAAGAUAGUUCCUGAAUUCUGGAGAUAUUUCUGGGAAAGUGAUGCCUGUGGCACUCAGUCUAAUAAAAGAGUAGGCUCGAGUCUUUUGAUUUUAUCUAUUAAUAUCAGCUCUUUAUUCCCCCAUUUAUUAAUAUUCAUGAAACUGUGAUAUUUUUCUUUAUGUUUUCUAGUAAGUGAUGAGUGUCACUUUUUUAAAGCUUAUAUUUCAACUUGUCCUUGUGUACUUGCAAAUUAUUUUUCUGUGAAAAAAAAUCAUGCAUGCAGUUGAAAAAUGUAUGUAAGUUGCCCUUCCAUGGUAAAUAAUUUCCAAAAGUUUUUUGACUUAUGUACAUCAUUCAGUGAAAAGAGCAUGAGGUUUCCAGUGAGGCAGAAACAGAUUUCAAAUCUGACAUGGUCACUUUCUAAAAUAUAAGAGAGAAAUUUCUGUUUUCUUUUUGUCUCAAUCAUUUUAAAUUUCUCUAUUUAAAGGAACCAUUAUUAGCAAAUAACUUUUGAGUAAUUAUUAUGUGUCAGACAUUAUGCUAAUUACUUUAGUGGAUUUUCUCAUAUAAUACCUAUAUCAUUAAAUCUGGUAUGUAUUACUAUUUCCAUAUUACUAACGGAGAAACUAAGUCUUCAGUGAACUCAACUAGCAGCUAAGCUGGCUAACUAUCAAACUCUUACCAGAGUUAAAAUUCUCAAGCACUGGUUUCAAUGCUCUAAGUCUCCAUUUUUUCAUUUUCAAAAUCCAAAUAAACUAUCUAGAUUUUUUUUUCAAAUUUAGGAAAGCAGCAUACGUAAAAUAUUUCACAUAACAUCUGAUACACUGUAGUCCUAUAAUAAAUAUUAGUUUCCUUCUCCUAUUUUAUUGACAUAAGAUAAUCAAUGCUCCAUUUGUUUCUGGUAUUAUUAUCUCUAUGUGAGAAAGAUACUAUGUAGUUUAAAAUCUGCUUUCUUAUACAACAUCUUAAUAUAUUUCUUACUAAAGUACUUAAUUCAUGCCACUUAAUUGAUGAGGAAAUAAAGGCCUAGAAAAUUCAGGCCGGGCGGGUGGCUCACACCUGUAAUCCCAGAACUUUGGGAGGCCGAGGCAGGAGGAUCACGAGAUCAGGAGAUUGAGACCAUCCAGGCUAACAGGGAGAAACCCUGUCUCUACCAAAAAUACAAAAAAUUAGCCAGGCGUGCUGGCACAUGGCUGCAAUCCCGGCUACUCGGGAGGCUGAGGCAGGAGAAUUCCUUGAACGCGGGAGGCAGAGGUAGCAGUGAGCCAAGCUCGCGCCACUGCACUCCAGCCUGGGUGACAGAGUGAGACUCCAUCUCAAAAAAGAAAAAGAAAAAAGAAAAUUCAGUAAUGGUUCUCAGACUAAGACCAAACUCAUUAAAUUAUAUAGUCUGUACCUCUUCCAUUCUUCAUGACUUUAGUAAAUAUGGUUUCAGAAAAACUUAAGUCACUUUUAUAGAUUGUUUUGUUAUCUAGUUUGUUAUCAAUAUUUACUGAUAUAGUAAACAUUGUGCAGUUUGAAGUAGGUAGCACAAGUAUUCUUAGAACCUCAUAAAUCAAAUCUGAUUAAAUGGAUCCUUAAAGUAUUUCAAGUUCUUAGCAGAGAUAAUACAUUUACAAGCUUUUUUGUAUUACAUGUGGAAAUGAGGAAAUGACAGUGGGGCCAAGACUCUAUUUUAUAUCACGAGGUUUCAUGUAAGUGACAUGGAGGAACAUAGGAAGAGUGGCAGAGAAUCAAACAGAAGUAUGAGAAUGUAUAUGUCUUUGCCUUUUUCACAAUAUUAUAGGAAAAGUGUUAAAUACUUCAUUGUUGUGUGAUGUGAGCUAUAGAGUUGUCAGAUGCUUUUAGCAGAUUGACAGAAAGUACCCUUGUAGACCUAAUUUGGUGAGGUUUUGCUGCUUUUUUAUAUGUGGAUGUUGAAUUUUUUGAAUGCAUUUUUCUGCAUCUAUUGAUAUUAUAUGAUUUAUUUUUCUUUAAUCUGCUAACAUGGUGAAUUACAAUGCUUGAUUUUUAAGUAGUAAAAUAACUUUGCACUCCUGGAAUAAAACCUACAUGAGCAUGAUUUAUUUUCCUUUUUAUAUGUUACUACAAUUCAUUUGUUCGUAUUUUGCUAGAGGUUUUUACGUCCAUUGGUCAUUGGCCUGUGAGUUUCUCUACUUAUCAUGUAUUUGUGUGAUUUUAUUAAUAGAAUAAUGCUGGUUUCACCAAACAUGUUGGAGAAUAUUCCUAUUCCUGAAAAAGUUUGUGUAACAUUAGUGAAUUCUAUCAAAUGUGAUAAAAUUUACCAGUGAGAAUUUACCAGUGAUGACAUCUAAGUUUGAAUUUUCCUUUACAGAAAGGUUUUAUUAUCAUAAUUCCUAUUUGUGUAAUAG
rnacentral:lncRNA from 1 species